UUUAAUACGAUUCAAGAAAAAUCAACUACGAUCUACUACUUUGAGAUUUGCGUGGCUUAUACGAGCGAAGGAAACCUUAAGAUGAUGACAGCACACAACAACGACCGAAAUUACAAAAACGAUGAUGACAAGGCAGCGACGGCGCAACAACUGACGACGACAGCGACUCAGCUGGCGCAUAGACGUCAACAGUGCACAUACGGAAGCUCCAAUGCACAGGGUUGCAUUUACCAGUGACACAACUAAAUUCUAAUCAGAUUUUUUUAAAGUAGAUUAUGGAAGUUAAUGCAGUUAUUAAGUUGGCGUAAGAUUAGAAAUGUGAGAAGUAACGCAAAAAUAUUGGUAUGCUAAACUAUGCUAAGUGCGGUAUAAUAAUUAUAAUGUAGCGGACACCGUUUGAAAAUAAUAUAUUUAAUUUCUUCUUAAAUACAUAUUACACAGUUAUACUCCAAGUUUUUUUACAAAUAGAGGAAUCUACAGUAUUUUACCAUCUCGCUGUUCGGAGGGUUUUUUUUUUAAGUUAACCGCCGACAGAAAAGCUAGUUUUAUACUCUUUAAGUGGGACUAUGCAAAAUAAAAAACAAGACGAAGGCUUAUAAAUAUAAAUAUUUGUAUACUCACAAACUUCAAAUUUGAACGCAGCAGGGAGAGAAACGAAAGCAGCCAAAGAAAGAAAUAAAUGCGAAAUAUCGUUAAUAUGAAAUUGCAAUAGAAUGGCUCACUGAGUGAAAUUAUCUUGAGUACAACAACAAAUAAUAAGACGGCUUUUGUAAGACAGAAUUUGUUUGGUGACCACUAGCGGACCAAUCAACUCCGUUUUCAAAAAUGCCAACUUACAAAGGAGCACGCACACAUGUAUAUACAUAUAGACUAUACACUCGUGUACAUAUGUACAGAAAACACACGAAAAGUCACGAAUAAAUCAAAACAAAAACAAAAAACACCGUAAUUUGGUAAUAUAUUGCAUUUAUCUUGCGUCAAACCAAAGUGAUCGCCAUCCGCACGCCCAAUACACAACAAUACGUGCAC